rnacentral:rRNA from 1 species
CCUACGGGGGGCUGCAGUGGGGAAUAUUGGACAAUGGGGGCAACCCUGAUCCAGCCAUGCCGCGUGUGUGAAGAAGGCCCUCGGGUUGUAAAGCACUUUCAGUGAGGAAGAACGCCUGGUGGUUAAUACCCAUCAGGAAAGACAUCACUCACAGAAGAAGCACCGGCUAACUCCGUGCCAGCAGCCGCGGUAAUACGGAGGGUGCGAGCGUUAAUCGGAAUUACUGGGCGUAAAGCGCGCGUAGGUGGCUUGAUAAGCCGGUUGUGAAAGCCCCGGGCUCAACCUGGGAACGGCAUCCGGAACUGUCAAGCUAGAGUGCAGGAGAGGAAGGUAGAAUUCCCGGUGUAGCGGUGAAAUGCGUAGAGAUCGGGAGGAAUACCAAUGGCGAAGGCGGCCUUCUGGACUGACACUGACACUGAGGUGCGAAAGCGUGGGUAGCAAACAGGAUUAGAUACCCCUGUAGUC